rnacentral:lncRNA from 1 species
AUAUUCUGCUACAGGCGAAGACACAUUAAGAUAGUUUUAAAUGAAUUACGCCGAGUGGUUUUCAUAAGAAAUGGUGAUGCUCGAAUUCGCACCUUGUCUACUGAUCCAUCCGAGAAAUCACGAUUUUCUCACGUAUUUGCGCACACCUUAAUCACCCGCUCUCAUCGGAAGUCUGAAGCGUAUCCAUGGAUACGUACACAACUCCUCACUCCUCUUCAGUGGUUGAAGAGUGAAGACUUACCUCUGAGCUCCUCCGAGGUUUUUUCAACUUUAUUAGAGGCGGAUCGCAUCUGUGAAAAACAAUCUUCCUCGUGGAAAACGCUCCACUUCCUUUCUACACACGUUACUGUGCUGCCGAGGAGGACGCGAACUUAUCGCUCGGAAUUUCAGGAGAUGUUUUCCUCGUCGAUUGGUAUCGAUGCCUGGCGAUAUUUGCUGAUACUACUUCCCUCCGCGCUCUAAAGUGGAGAUCGAUCGCUGCACAUGCACGGGUAUGAUGCGUAGGUAGCAUCGGGUGAUAGAUUAGUCCACUUCGGUGCACGGUGCAGAGGACGUCUCUUGACGACUCACGUCUGUUUUAGCAAACUCCACGCUACACCUUAAGAUCCCCUAACUACUACUUCCUUCCGGCAAUCUCAAUUUUGGUGAGUCAUAAACAUUACUAUGAAUCCAGGUCUACGUUUCAUGCCCGUUCACUGUUCAGUUCAGAAAAUCCUCUUCAUAAUAGUUUGAAUCUUUAGUUUUUAGCAUACUCCACGAUGUGCCUCGAGAUCUCUUAACUACCAUUUUCAUUAGGCAAACUCAAUUUUGGCGAGUCGUGUUACUAUGAAUCCAGGUCUACGUUUCAUACCCGUUCACUGUUCAGUUCUGAAAAUCCUCAUCAUAAGAGUAUAAAUCUUUGGUAUUUUAGCAUAACCCACGAUACAACUCGAGAUCUCCUUAGUCCUAACUACUACUUUCAUUCGGCAAUCUCAAUUUUCAUGAGUCAAGUAAAUGUUACUAUGAAUUCAGGUCUAUGGUUCGUGCCCAUUCACUGUUUAGUUCAGAAAAUCCUCUUCAUAAGAGUUUAAAUCUUUAGUUUCUUAACAUACUCCACGAUACACCUCGAGAUCUCUAGAGGUGAUUCAAUGGACGCCAUAUUUUUGUCAGAACGGCUUGCGAUAGAUCGCAUCAAUUUGUUCCAUUUUUUCAGCUACUCGUCAUUUAUCUCCAAUUUGAGAUCGCAAUUCUGUUGUCAGGAGACUAAAGCACUCUCUUACUAAUUUUAUCAAAGAUAUUCAACGUAAUAAAAGCGUGGUUUUUUUAGAGAGAAAUAUCGCAUUCGAGUGCAGUUUCGAUAUCAGUAUCGAAUGCGAUGUUUUCUCUCUAAAAAAACCACGCCUUUAUUACGUUGAAUAUCUUUGAUAAAAUUGGUAAGUGAGUGCUUUAGUCUCCUGAUAACAGAAUUGCGAUCUCAAAAUUGGAGAUAAAUGACGAGUAGCUGAAAAAAUGGAACAAAUUGAUGCAAUAUAUCGCAUGCCCUUCUGACACAAAAUAUGGCGUCCAUCAAAUCACAUUAACUACCAUUUUCAUCAGGCAAACUCAAUUUUGGUGAAUCGUGUAAACCUUCCUAUGAAUCCAGGUCAACGUCUCAUGCCCGUUCACUGUACAGUUCUAAAAAUCCUGUUCACAAGAGUAUAGAUCUUUAGUAUUUUAGCAUAACCCACGAUACGCCUCGAGAUCUCCCAAGUCCUAACUACUUUAUUCCUUCGGCAAUCUCAACUUUGGUGAGUCAAGUACAUGAACUAUGAAUGAGUACUAUGAAUGCAGUUCUACGUUUCAAAUCCGUUCAGAAAAUUCUCUUCAUAAGAG